UACGAAGGGGGCUAGUCGUUGCUCGGAAUCACUGGGCGUAAAGGGUGCGUAGGCGGGUCUUUAAGUCAGGGGUGAAAUCCUGGAGCUCAACUCCAGAACUGCCUUUGAUACUGAGGAUCUUGAGUUCGGGAGAGGUGAGUGGAACUGCGAGUGUAGAGGUGAAAUUCGUAGAUAUUCGCAAGAACACCAGUGGCGAAGGCGGCUCACUGGCCCGAUACUGACGCUGAGGCACGAAAGCGUGGGAGCAAACAGG
rnacentral:rRNA from 1 species